rnacentral:rRNA from 1 species
UAUCUGCAGUCGAGGGGCAGCAGGACUGUAGCAAUACAGUUGCUGGCGACCGGCAAACGGGUGCGGAACACGUACGCAACCUUCCUUCAAAUGGGGGAUAGCCCACCGAAAGGUGGAUUAAUACCCCGUAACAUUUUCUGGUGGCAUCACCGGAUCAUUAUAGCUUCGGCGUUUGAAGAUGGGCGUGCGGCUGAUUAGGUAGUUGGUGGAGUAACAGCCCACCAAGCCUACGAUCAGUAACUGGUGUGAGAGCACGACCAGUCACACGGGCACUGAGACACGGGCCCGACUCCUACGGGAGGCAGCAGUAAGGAAUAUUGGUCAAUGGACGCAAGUCUGAACCAGCCAUGCCGCGUGGAGGAUGAAGGUCCUCUGGAUUGUAAACUUCUUUUAUCGGAGAAGAAACCCUCAAAUUCUUUUGGGGUUGACGGUACCCGAUGAAUAAGCACCGGCUAACUCCGUGCCAGCAGCCGCGGUAAUACGGAGGGUGCAAGCGUUAUCCGGAUUCACUGGGUUUAAAGGGAGCGUAGGUGGGGUGGUAAGUCAGUGGUGAAAUCUCCGGGCUUAACCCGGAAACUGCCGUUGAUACUAUCAUUCUUGAAUAUUGUGGAGGUAAGCGGAAUAUGUCAUGUAGCGGUGAAAUGCUUAGAUAUGACAUAGAACACCGAUAGCGAAGGCAGCUUGCUACACAAUUAUUGACACUGAGGCUCGAAAGCGUGGGGAUCAAACAGGAUUAGAUACCCUGGUAGUCCACGCCCUAAACGAUGGAUACUCGACAUACGCGAUACACAGUGUGUGUCUGAGCGAAAGCAUUAAGUAUCCCACCUGGGAAGUACGACCGCAAGGUUGA